CGAGGCGCUUGGACUAGUACGUAUCUUUCAACUCAACGCGGAAUCCACCUGCAAUCAGGCUAUCCGUCUUGUUUUCGAAUGAAGUACCUGCUCAUUUGUUACAAGCGUUAACUCUGUGGUCGCAUGAGAAAACACUCUUCAACAGCACACGGUUGUGCGCGGUCUGAGGAUGGAGACGUAGCCACCGAGACCCACGUAAGGCAACGUGACCCAGAACCCAUACAGAACCCAGAGGAAAUCAUCCUUUCUCCUAGUGGUCCUCGACAAGAGGAGGCUGCAGUCAGUGCUUCGCUCAUUUGCUCGGCUGAAACGGUGUCUUAUCCACCUCUAAUAAUUGCGCUCGCAUGUUCCUUGUUAUUUCUGAACGGGACUAAAGGCUUGGUGCGUAUUCACUCUCUCGCGUUUGGACUCAGUGACUAGGCAAGCAGUGUUACUUCAAGCAACAAGGCGCAGCACGGGGACCCGUGGUUGCAGUGACGGGUCCCUCUCCGCUGAUGCGAUGGUGCCGAAAUGUAGGCCAGCAAUUUUUAGAACUGUUCCAUCCCGCCUUUCUGCGAGUCGACUUAAAAUAACGUGGAGUUGGAUGAUGGAGUUGUAAUUGUAGCCUAUGUUAAGUGGAAAAAAAGGAAAUAUUUGAAGGGUAAAAGUUAAGAUUCACUUUGAGAUGUAGCUGGCUGGCGUUUGUGGUGUAUUGCGUCUUGGCGAGUGAUGGGAAAAGGCUUUCAAGCAUUCUAUUUCUCUGCUCAUGGAUCUAAGUCGUGUUGGAUCCGUUCUAUAGAUCUCUCUACUUCUGCCUCCACACUAGCCUACAUCUAUCUCUGUCUCUUGCCUAGCGAAUGAUUCAGAAAAAAGAUUAUGGGCGUAACUAAAAAGGGUAAAGGAGAAUUCACCCAGAUUUGGAACAAUAGACAUCAAUUCACAAUGGACAAUGAAUAGAGGAGCAGAACUGUUUGGGGUUCUGGACACGUCCACGCCAGGCGGGCUCGUGACGAGGCCAACGACAUGUGGUGCGGGACUGACUGGCAGUCUGGACACUUGCACAAAUUAGAGAGUCGUUUGGCCAGUUUUCUUGUCUCAGGCCACUCAAGCAAAAGUAGACUAAUGCCAGUGUUUGUAGUAAACUGCUCCAGAUUGGAUUGACUCAUUACAUACCUUUGCUCUCUUUCAACGUGUAUCUAUGCCAGAUAGCUCCGGGUUUAUUUCUCGGGCUCAGUUUAAACUCGUAUAGCUGUAGCAAACUCUACACUGCUGCUGCAGAGCUCGAGUUUUUCUAUCAUCAAAAAUUCUAUAGCCUAACUGAAAUUCAAUGUGGACAUCAGUAACGCCUAUUUUAUUGGAUUUACGAUAUACCAUCUUCUCAAGCCAGAAAAACAAAAGAAACACAGAGAAAUAAUUUGAGUGAGAGAGAUCAGUAGCUGUGUGGGCCUGGACAAGGAGAACAGGAGGAGGAGGAGAAACAGAGAGAAAAAUAGGAAGAGAAGGAGAGGAUAGGAAUGAUGCCUGUUUGGAAGCAGUGAAUGAUGAACCAGGGAGCAGGUGAACCCAGCUGUCGAUGGCCAUGGGCUCUCUGGCUCCUCUCUUCCCGUGGCCCUCUGCGCCGUGCCGGGUUCUCAGGGAGCCGGCUGGGGCCAGCCAGGCAGCGGCAGAGUGGGCAGGCGAGCCGAGGCAAGGGGAGGCGAGGCAGGCUCUCAUCCCCGCUAGCAAGAUGCUCCUCAGCAAAGCGGAGCAGCAAAUCAAUAUGGAGGAGAGAGGCUAGCAGGGUUCGCCCAUCACUGCCCCCGGCCCUAGAGCCCAGGGACCCAGCGCUGCCAGCUCUCGCUCUCCUCCUCCUCUAGUAGCAGGACCAGAACCAGCCACUGUAUGGAGCACAUCAGUCAGAUCCUAACCCUCAACCACCUGCUUUCUCUCUAUCUGUGUGUGUGUAAGCAUGUCUGUAUGUGUGGUUCUGCCGUAGGGGCUUUCGUGGUCCAAGACCACUUGCUAAAGCUUUGCCAGCGAGAAAGAGAGAGAAUAAAAAACGGACGUCAAAGGUCUUUUUCUUUUUUUUUCUCUGAUUACUCAUUCUUACUCAUUCCACCUGACUGUUUGAGCGAGAGUUCUUAUAUUGAAUUGAACAGGGCUCUCUCGUCAGUCCCCCUCCAAGCAUGUACUGUACAGUCACCAUGCUCUCCACAUGUGAUGAACCAGGAUAAAAGGACAAUUUGAACUUUUUUCUCUCGUCUGCAGAUUCAGAGAAAAUCUUUUUCGCCUCCAGUUUUCUUCCUCACCACUCAGGUUACUAUCAGAGGAGGUGGCAGAGGUUAUUGAUCUGUAUGGAGAAGGAAGAGGUGCUGGUUUUAAUACAGUACCGUUCACUGUCUGAUGGUUAUAUAGUAGUGGCUGAUAACCCAUUCACUGUACAGCUGAACUAUAUUCAGGAGUGAACGAGUCCUGAGUGAGAGAUGAAAAGGACGGUGAGCAGAUAAUGCCUGAACAGUGGCCUGAACAGUAUCCACUAUUUCAUGUGACUUUUCUCCUCCAUAUUUGAAUCAAUCUCUCCACAUAAGAAGCUUUGAAAAGACCUUCUACGCAAGAAACCCUAUCUUUAGAUACAUAGAAAUAGAAAACAUUUGAUUAAAUAAGAAUGACUGUAAGUGCUGUAUGGACACACAAAAAGCUGAAUUACAUUUAUUUCAUUGGAGAAGAAAAGGAUUGAAAACUGCUGGGCUGGAGAGGACAAAAGGGACAGAGCUUGUUUGGACCUGAAACAGUAACAACUUCACAGAGUGAGAUCUACAAACAACACAAUGUUGCAGACUUCACUUGAUGCUGAGGUUCCAAUGGAGAUGCAGUGGAAGCAUCAAGCAUCAUGUCCCGUGCAGACCAAACCAGACACACAGAGAUGUAAAGCCGUCCACUGUUCUUGUAAUAAAGGUCAAUAGAAAUACCCCACCACAGUCAAGAGGAUUCAGUUCUCCAAUCUACUGAUUAUCACCAAAUGUUUGUGUGGUCAGGUAAGUGGGAGUCUUAACAAGGGAAAGGCACAUUUAUAAGUGUAAAAAAAGUAAUAUAUUUUUUGGAAUAGUUUCAUUAGGUCUUAAUGAAAGAUUUUGAAACCAAUUUUAGGGGGAUAUUGGUUGAGAUCCCAAGGGAUCCUUUGCCGUUUCUAUUUCAGAGUAAAGCUUUUAAAUGUAAAAUCCUUGAUUUGCUCUAGUCUUUGUAUGCGUUUGCACUUCAGCUUCAUUCCCUAACCUAUAAUUUUCAUAUCAUUGAUCGUAAUAACUAUUUUUUAUGUAAAAAAUUAAAGACUGCUACAUGUUUCAGUGUCUUGUGGUACAAAAUUAAAAUAAAGUGAACUUAAUUGAAAAAAGAAAAGCUGCCUCAGUAGUUUUAUUUUUGUUUUUCCAUUUAAAUUAAUCAAAUGAAAGUUUAUCAAUGACCAUACACUGCAUAUUGUAGGUACCAAUGUAGGAUUCUAAUUUGAGCCAGUUUGCUACAGCAAGAAAAUAAUGCUGCAGCAACAGGAAAUUAUUAUGUGGAUUAUAAUUGAACACAACAUUUUUGUAGGGGUUGAUACAUGUGUAAUGUUAGGUCAAAUCAAAGUGGAAACUACAAACUUUAGAAGCAGUGCAGGAAAAUUCGCAUCAACAAAAGAGUGAUCAAAUUAAGAUCCUACAUCUGUAUACAAUAUGAACGUGGGUAAUUUCACACAGGAGGUCCAACAUUUGAAACAGCUAUUCAGAUCAUCUCAGAGUUAUCUUGAAGGACCAGAAAGGAGACAGUUAAACCAAGUGGCCUACGUCUUUGGUGCCAAUUAGGUCCCUGUGUAUGAGAGCAAAGUGGGUGUGGAAGGAAGCUGCUGGAGCUGAAGAAGGAGCUACACACAGGCCUUGUUUUUUAGUGAUCACGCCUCCUAUUGUUUUCCCACAACAGCCGGUUCAUGCGAUGCCCCAAAACCCCCAGUGCGCUUCAGUGCUCUGGCUGAAAUGGGCUCUCUGUUCCCUGCACUGGGCUGCCCGCCUAGCUCCUGCCUCGCCCUGACUGGUAAUGACCUGAAAUUAGGGCCAAGCCAGGAGGGGAGGCCCUGGGCCCUGGUCUGAAAGAAAGGAGGAGAUUAUCCCAUUCUGCCCGGCCAGUCAGCAGUGGUGGUAUUGACCAGGGCCCACCCAGGGAGGGUCCAGUGAGCCGUGAGAUGGCCUGAUAUACAUGCUUAUUGAGCUGGACAGAUUCCCUCACUCUCACCAGGGAUAAACCAAACCGUACAAGACACUUUCUUAAACACUGCUCUGGAGAUUAUAGGAGUGACCCCCCCCCCCCUGGGUGGAAACACACAAACUGGGCAGACCUCACCCUAUCCUCUGUCCAGACUGCCACUGGGAGUUUGGCCAGGCUUCUCAAUGUCGCUGUCCUGAGAGCCGAAAAGGGGUCAUCAGACCAAACAUCCUACAGUGGCCUAAUGAAAAACACUCGGAAAGUAUUCAGACCCCUUGCCUUUUUCCAAAUUUUUUACGUUACAGCCUUAUUCUAAAAUUGAUUAAAUUCAUGUUGUUCCUCGUCAAUCUACACACAAUACCCCAUAAUAACAAAGCGAAAACAGGUUUUUAGAAUGUUUUGCAAAUGUAUAAAAAAGAAAAAACAGAAAUACCUUAUUUACACAAGAAUUCAGACCCUUUGCAAUGAGACUCGAAAUUGAGCUCAGGUCCAUCCUGUUUCCAUUGAUCGUCCUGGUUUCUACAACUUGGUAAAUUCAAUUGAUUGGACAUGAUUUGGAAAGGCACACACCUGUCUAUAUAAAAGGUCCCACAGUUGACAGUGCAUGUCAGAGCAAAAACCAAGCCGUGAGGUAAAAGGAAUUGUCCAUAGAGCUCUGAGACAGGAUUGUGCCGAGGCACAGAUCUGGGGAACGGUACCAAAAAAUUUCUGAAGGUCCCCAAGAACACAGGGGCCUCCAUAAUUCUUAAAUGGAAGAAGUUUGUAACCAUGAAGACUCUUCCUAGAGCUGGCUGCCCGGCCAAACUGAGCAAUCGGGGGAGAAGGGCCUUGGUCAGGAAGGUGACCAAGAACCGAUGGUCACUCUGACAGAGCUCCAGAGUUCCUCUGUGGAGAUGGGAGAACAUUCCAGAAGGACAUCCAUUUCUGCAGCACUCCACAAUCAAGCCUUUAUGGUAGGGUGGCCAGACGGAAGCCACUCCUCAGUAAAAGGCACAUGACAGCCCGCUUGGAGUUUGCCGAAAGGCACCUAAAGGACUCUCAGACCAUGAGAAACAAGAUUCUCUGGUCUGAUGAAUCCAAGAUUGAACUAUUUGGCCUGAAUGCCAAGCGUCACGUCUGGCGGAAACCUUUUUUAUUUUUUAUUUCACCUUUAUUUAACAAGGUAGACCAGCUGAGAAAGAGUUCUCAUUUACAACUGUGACCUGGCCAAGAUAAAGCAAAGCAGUGCGACAAAAACAACACAGUUACACAUGGGAUAAAUAAACGUAGAAAAAUCUGUAUACAGUGUGUGCAAAUGAAGUAAGGAGAUAGGGCAAUAAAUAGGCCAAUAGUGGUGAAGUAAUUACAAUUUAGCAAUUAACACUGGAGUGAUAUGUGUGCAGAUGAGGAUGUGCAAGUAGAAAUACUGUUGUAUUUGAGCAGAAAAAUAAAACAAAUAUGGGGAUGAGGUAGGUAGUUGGUUGGAUGGGCUAUUUACAGAUGGGCUGUGUACAGCUGCAGCUAUCGGUAAGCUGCUCUGACAGCUGACACUUAAAGUUAGUGAGGGAGAUAUAAGUGUCCAACUUCAGUGAUUUUUGCAAUUCGUUCCAGUCAUUGGCAGCAGAGAAUUGGAAUGAAAGGAGGCCAAAGUAGGUGUUGGCUUUGGGGAUGACCAGUGAAAUAUACCUGUUGGAGCGCAUGCUAUGGGUGGGUGUUGCUAUGGUGACCAGUGAGCUGAGAUAAGGCGGAGCUUUACCUAGCAAAGACUAAUAGAUGACCUGGAGCCAGUGGGUUUGGCGACGAAUAUGUAGCGAGGACCAGCCAACGAGAGCAUACAGGUUACAGGGGUGGGUAGUAUAUGAGGCUUUGGUGACAAAAUGGAUGGCACUGUGAUAGACUGCAUCCAAU
rnacentral:lncRNA from 1 species